ensembl:lncRNA
UCUGUAAUAAAGAGAUGGUGAGAGGUCUGUCCGUAAUAAAGAGAUGGGGAGAGGUCUGUCUGUAAUAUAGAGAUGGGGAGAGGUCUGUCUGUAGUAAAGAGAUGGGGAGAGGUCUGUCUGUAGUAAAGAGAUGGGGAGAGGUCUGUCUGUAGUAAAGAGAUGGGGAGAGAUCUGUCCGUAAUAAAGAGAUGGGGAGAGGUCUGUCUGUAAUAAAGAGAUGGGGAGAGGUCUGUCCGUAAUAAAGAGAUGGGGAGAGGUCUGUCCGUAAUAAAAGAGGUGCUCUGCUUUUUUGACACCACACUCCACGAAGCAAAUCCUGCAGACUCUAGUUGUAUCUU